rnacentral:lncRNA from 1 species
CAUAAUGGAGUACAUAAGAGAAGUCACAAAAUUGGGUGAGUUCUGUUUGAAAUACUAUCAAUGGCUCUAGGAUUGAAGCCUGAAUAUUUGAAAGAUAUGGGAUGCUUCAAUUUAUACCUCAUUGUCUGCAACUACCAUCCGCACUGCCCACAGCCAGAGCUGACUUUGGGAGCUAGAAGGCACUCUGAUCCUCAUUCCUUACAAUUCUGUUGCAAGACCAAAUCUGUGGCCUUCAAGUCUUUCAUGAAAAUCCAUGAAAAUCAGUGGAUUGAUGUUAACCCUAUAUCAGGAGACUUGAUAGUAAAUAUAGGGGGCUUUCUCUAGGUUUGUCUUUGAAAAUAAUAGAGACAACUAAUCUUCCCAUCAUCUGCUUAAUUUUCGUGUUUUAAUAGUAACUAUAUAUGCUAAUUAAUGUUUUCAAUAAUUAAUUAAUUCAGGUUAUAUCAAACGAUAAGCUCAAGAGUGUUGACCAUAGAGUCGUGGCCAAUGUUCAUGCCACUGCAAGGGUUGCUGUGGCAUGCUUUUUCACAGGACAUGCUGCUGAAGCGCAGAAGCCCUUUGGACCGAUCAAAGAGUUGAUCUCUGAAGAAAAUCCACCUGUUUACAGAGAAUUUCUAGUGGGAGAAUAUAUGAGCAAAUGCUUUUCCAGAGAACUUCAAAGCAAAUCUGCUGGCCUCGAGCAGUUCAAGCUUUAAAAGCAGCAGUAUACUUGAAUAGAGUUCUCAAAUGCUGUAAAUUGAGUAUGUACUAAUGUUAAUAUCUGCCCUUGCCAAUAAUUUCAAACUACAUGUUUCAAAUAAGUAAGAGAUUUUAGAGUAUAUUAGAAGUACUACACUUAAUUAAUUGUUAAUUAUAUCUAAUUAAACUACACAUGCUAUAUAUAUAUAUAUAUAUAUAUAUAUAUUAAAUGUAGUACUUUUUAUGUACUCUUGACUCCGUUCCUGUGUUUGUAGCAUCUUAUAUCUAUUGACAAGUUGAAAACUGUAGAGCACCGUGCUUAUAUCUAAUGACAAGUAAGCAAAAGAUCUAGACUGUACAGCACCGUGCUUUGGCAAAUCAUAUUGGCCCCAGAGUAUCUGUGGCUUGCUUUUUCACACCACAUCCUUAUCUGUGGCUUGCUUUUUAGCCAAGUGGAUGGUUGUGCUGGAGCCGUACUGGUGCACAUUGACAUCCAUGUGCUUCUCAAUGUUUGCCUUCACGCGUCGAAGUUGGAUUUGAAAGAAAAAGCAGAUGAACGAAAAACCAAUUAUGACGUUUAUUUACUUCUGGAAGGAAAAUUAUUUGAAUAUCUCUGCUGGAAGUUAACAUCCUUGAAUCCUUGACUGCGAGUGCAAUGGUGUGAUCUCUAUCAAGCAAUAAGUAAGCUUGAUUUUAAGCCAGGCCGUUUACAAAUUAUAACUAUCCAAUGUUUAUGCUCAUUAAUUAUUUUUGAUACUUAGUUGAAAAGUAUUAAUAUAAGCCAUAAGACUACCAUCUAUGCUCAUCAUUUUCUUGUCGAAAACAGACAAUGGAUAUCUCCGAUGCCAGUAGAACGACCACGCAAACUGUGACGGACUACGACAGAGCUAAAGAGGUUCAGGCUUUUGAUGAUACAAAAGCCGGUGUCAAAGGAUUAGUGGAUGCUGGAAUUGUGAAUAUUCCGAGGAUAUUCAUUCGACCGCCUGAGGAGCUUGUCGAGGAGUUGACCAGUCAUCAGACCAAUUCUCAAGUACCGGUUAUCGAUCUUGAUGGCGUCAGAGGCAAUAAGCUUGAGGAGAUUGUUGAUCAAGUUCGGGCUGCAGCAGAGACAUGGGGCUUCUUUCAAGUGGUGAAUCACGGUAUUCCCUUAAAUGUGUUGGAAGAGAUUAUUGAAGGGAUACGCAAGUUUAAUGAACAAGACGUUGAGUUGAAGAAAGAGUUUUAUACCCGUGACCGGGCAAGAAAUGUCAGAUUCAACAGCAACUUUGAUCUGCAUUACUCCCGGACAGCUAAUUGGAGGGACACGUUGACAAUUUCUGCUUUAGCUUCCACCGAUUUAGACCCCAACGAAUACCCAGAAGUUUGCAGGUACAUAAUUUGAUCACUCUCUAUGUAUAGCAUUAUCUCCCAACAUCUGAAUCCAACUGAUUGUUUAAUAUACAAUUGGAUACACUUUAUGGAAAAGCAUUGAGCUUGCUACCACAAGUUCUUAUAACAAGUUCAUUUGGCGCAAAAUUUGUUGAAGUUGAAAAAGUCUUAAUUGGGACAAACAGUUGCUGCAACUGCUGAGAUUUUAAGUUAAUUUUUAAGAAAUUAUCAUUCUACCUUAAAUUUAAUAAAUUGAUGGUUUUUCUCAAGAAAUUAUUUGCUGCUGCAUAUGAGCACCCCACUUUAUGCCCACUCAGGCAUUUAAUGAACACUUCAUAGAUAUUAUCAAACACCCGUGAACACCUUGUAAUAGACGUGAACACAAAUCAUCAACAGACAACCGACUAUAAGAGCAAUUUAUGUGUGGUUCAUUGAAUUGGCUUAUGUACAUCUAAGCUCCAAGCAUUCGAUAUCACAAAGUUGUUCUUCUAAACGAAUCAACAGUUUUGCAUUUUUACAGGUCUAUUGAACUUAAUUAAUUGGUGAUCGCAUUGAUAUUCCUUUUUCUUUUUCUUUUUUUCUGUUAAUCCGCAAUUGAUUGUAUAUUUUCCUGUACCAAUUGCUCCCAAAAAUUUGCAGAGAUGCUGUGAGAGAGUACAUUAAAAAUGUCACAAAAUUGGGUGAAACUCUGUUUGAAUUAUUAUCACUGGCUCUUGGGCUGAAGGCUGAACAUUUACAAGAGAUUGGAUGCCCUAAAGAAUACACCCUUCCCUGCCACUACUAUCCAUCUUGCCCUCAGCCAGAUUUGACAUUGGGAGCUACCGGGCAUUCAGACCCUUCAUUUCUUACCAUUCUUCUGCAAGACCAAAUCGGCGGCCUUCAAGUCUUUCAUGACAAUCAAUGGGUUGGUGUCCAACCCAUUGUGGGAGGCUUAGUGGUAAACAUAGGGGACUUCCUCGAGGUUUGUCUUUCACAAUUACAAUGAAUAUUUUUUCCACAAUCAUGCCAAUCUUCAUCAAUCAUCACGACAAUGAGGUGUCUUAAAAUUGAAUCAGGUUGUAUCAAACGACAAGUUCAAGAGUGUUAACCACAGAGUAGUCGCCGGUCAUGUCGGUCCAAGGGUUUCCGUGGCAUGCUUUUUCAUGGGACAUAAUGCAGAAAUCCCAAAGUCUUAUGGGCCGAUCAAAGAGUUGACAUCUGAAGAAAAUCCUCCUAUUUACAGAGAUUUUCUUCCAAGUGAAUGUUUUAGCAAACGAUUUUCUAUGGCGGUUGAUGACAAUUCUCUCCUCCAUCAGCUCAAGCUAUGAAGCCGACAGUAUUUGUAUUAAUUAUUCGUGUUUGUUACCAACAAUUUACAAAUUGCGGAGCCCUGUUGUGAACUCUUUCCCAGUAAUUCCGAAAAAAAUGUUUCAACUAAUUAAUAACGUAUGAAUCGUCCAAUGUUGCUCUUUACUUUCUUCAAUUAUUAGAAUGUCCCUCUGCACUGCUCCUUAUUAGUGUCAAAAUUGUUCAGCCAGCGCUCAGUACAUAUACUGGACUUUUUAUUGUUUUUAGAAUUUAGAAAGAGUCCGACUAUUGGCAGCCCUCUAUAAUCCUUAUAAAACCCGUCCUCUAUGAUAAUACAUUAAAGAACAAAAGAAAUCUAACUAAACCCUUAUAUUUUCUUUCUCUAACUCUUUACACCUAUAGAACUGUUAGGAAUAUUCUAGAAAGCUCCAGAUUUCUCCAGUAAGCUCAAGAUUGCUCAGGUUGUUGAGAAGCUCAGCUGAUGCUAAGAGAGUUAGUUAACACUCACGUGUGUGUGUAAGCCAGCAUGGCGUUAGACUGUUAUAAAUUGUACAGCUGUCAAAUUGUUAUUGGUGAUACAUUAGUUAAGUUUGUUAUGUAAGUGUAAUAUAAAUACUAGCCUCUGUAUUACUUCAUUCAGUUAAGUAAAAUGAAACAAACUUUCUUUCUUUCUCUAAUAUUUUCUCUUUGAUUGCUGGAAACCGAAAACUUUAUAACUUUCACAAGAACCAAUCCACUGUUUUUCAUAAUUUUUUUUUUCUCACAAACACUUUGCAUUUUUAUUAUUGUCAUUCUACAAAUAGAUUCUCACUCUUAUCGAUAAUCUCCUCAUUCAUUUUCAAUUUCUUAUAUAACCUUGAGCAAUAAACUUUUUUAAAACUAUAGAAAAUCCACUUUUAAUUCUAGUUAAUUCCAACAUACAUGAUUUUUUUUAAAGAGUUAAAUGUAUAUGAUUUAAUUGUUAACUCACGUGUGUGUGUGUGUGUUAACUCACGUGUGUGUGUAUAUAUAUAUAUAUAUAUAGCAAGUCACGUGUAUAUAUUAUUGGUUGUUAUGUGUUUCCUAGUUUGAUAGGAUUUCCUUGUGAACUAGGUAAUUCUUAUUUAGGGUAAUUCUUAUCAACUAAUGUACAUAUAAAUAUUGAUCAAUAGAGAACAAAGAGAAGGACAAAAAGGGUGGUUUUCCAUCGUGAAUUUCUUCAUGGUAUCAGAGCAUAAUGGAAGACCAAACAAAAACAAAAACAAAAACAAAAACAAAAGAUAAAGAGGCUAGCGGAAGUGGAUUGGGCAAGACAGUGAUGUCUCCUUACUUCCUUUCGGCCAAUGAUAAUCCUGGAACUAUCAUCACUUAGGUGCAACAUGAAGGAACCAACUAUGACGAGUGGGCAAGGGAUAUGCGGACUGCAUUGCACGCCAAGAAGAAAUUCGGUUUUGUUGAUGGAAUCGUGAAACAGCCUGCUGAUGACUCGGCUGAUUUGGAGGAUUGGUGGGUGGUGAAUUCAAUGUUGGUUUCCUGGAUACAGAAUACAAUUGAACUGAACCUGCGAUCUACUGUGACUUAUACAAAAGUUGCUAAGUUGUUGUGGGAUGAUAUCAAGGAACGGUUCUUUGUUAGCAAUGGACCAUGUGCGCAACAACUCAAAUUUGAGUUGGCAAAUUGCAAGCAGUGAGGUAUGACUAUUUUGAAUUAUUAUGGGAAACUCAAGAUGUUGUGGGAAGAAUUGGGUAAUUACGAACAAUCGCCUGCUUGUCUAUGCGGUAAUUGUACGUGUAAUCUAGGCGCGGAAUGAGAUAAGAAAUUAGAUGAAGAAAAAUUGCAUCAAUUCUUGAUGGGUCUUGAUGAAGCCCUGUACGGUGGUGUGCAGUCUCAUAUUCUAAGCACCGAGUCGCUGCUAAAGUUGAACCGUGCCUGUGCCAUAGUCAUUCUGAAGGAGCAGGUUCAGUCAAUGACACGUGCUAAAGAAGAACAGAGUGAACAUGUAGCAUUUGUCGUUCAAGCCGCGCAUGGAAUAUGACAACCUGGAUAAGUCUUCUGUACUUUGUACCCAUUGCAACAAGAUUGGACAUGAAGCAUCUUCUUGUUUCCAGCUUAUUGGGUAUCCUGAAUGGUGGGGUAAAUGGCCAAAAGCCAUGAGGAAUGCAGGUUGUGGUCGUGGCAAUUCACGACAGAAUGGUGGAAACAAUGGGCGUGGUCGUGGAGGUCCUGCUCGGGCCAACGCUGCUCAAGUCGCGACAGGGUCUAACAGUCCGUCUGAAGAACUCCUGGAAUCAGCCGCAAGCGGUCUCAGCGGUUUGAGCAGUGAACAAUGGAACACAUUACUUAAUCUUUUGAACAGUAAAAAAGACAGCACCUCACGGAUCAGUGGUAAGCUUAAUUCAAUGGAGUGGAUUCUUGAUACUGGGGCCUCACAUCACAUGACAGGAAAAAGAAAAAAUCUUAUGCGACAUUGUAUAUAUUAUUCCCUGUUCUAUUUAGCUGCCUGAUGGAAACACGACAAUGACAAAUACAGAAGGAACAGUUGUACUUGCUAGCCACCUGCGACUGAAUAAUGUUUAUUUGUGCCAAGUUUAACUUGCAAUUUAAUUUAUGUAUCGCAACUGAUUCGAGAUGCCAAUUGUUUUAUUCAAUUUUCUGAUCAAUUAUGUGUGAUCCGGGACCGCAUUACGAGGAUGCUAAUUGGAGCGGGUGAGCAACGAGAGGGACUCUAUUAUUUCCGGGACAUUGGUUCGGCCGCUGCUCUGUUUAGUGUUACCAACCGAGCUUAUGAUUUAUGGCAUCAAAGGUUGGGGCAUCCUUCUUCUAAAGUUGUUCAGUUGCUCCAUUUUAUUGAUUCGGCUUAUUGUCUGUCUAGUUUUCAGAAUUGUGAUAUAUACUUUCGAGCAAAACAGUGUCGUGGCAAAUUUGUGGGGACUUUAUCGCACAGCUAAUUCUUGUGGUGCUCAUUAUUUCUUGACUAUUGUUGAUGAUUUUUCUCACGGUGUUUGGACAUAUCUGCUAGUCGCGAAGAAUGAGGUUGGGCUUGUAUUACGCAUUUUUUUUAGUAUGGUCUCUAGACAAUUCCAUAAACUCGUUAAAAUCAUACGGAUAGACAAUGGGACAUAAUUUAUGUAUUUAUCUGAUUUAUUUGCUGAGCAUGGCAUUCAUCAUCAGACAUCUUGUGUGGGUACUUCUCAACAGAAUGGUCGAGUCAAACGCAAGCAUCGACACAAUCUUAAUGUUGCUCGUGCUCUGCGCUUUCAGGCUUUCUUACCAGAUGAAUUCUGGGGUGAAUGUGUGUUAACUGCUUGCUAUUUGAUCAAUCGAACACCUUAUGUUCUUCUUGACGGACGAACUCCUUAUGAACGACUAAAGAUUAUGUCUUGCAUACUGUUCAGCAUUUGAGUCCCUCUUUGCGGCCCCAUUCAUGCUCACAUGCUCAAUCACUUCCUGCAGGUAGUCCUUAUCCCAUACUUGAUUAUGUGAAUUGUAAUAAUUUUUCUGCUCGACAUUGUGCUUUUCUAGCAGCGAUUACUGUAGGAGUUGAGCCUGCCUCUUUUGCUGAGGCCAUGAGAGAUCCUAGAUGGCGUGAGGCCAUGAAGUCUGGAUUGCAAGCUCUGGAAAAUAAUAACACAUGGACUGUUGUGUCUCUACCACCUGGAAAACGUGCCAUAGGCUGUAAGUGGGUGUGCCGGAUUAAGUACAAUGCCGACGGUACAGUUGAAAGAUACAAAGCUCGCUUGGUGAUCCUUGGGAACAAGCAAGUUGAAGGAAUUGAUUACACAUAGACAUUUGCUCUUGUUGCAAAACUUGUUAUAGUUCGAACUUUUCUGGUUGUUGCUGCGGCUAGGAAUUGGGAGCUUCAUCAGAUGGAUGUUCACAAUGCUUUCUUACACGGUGAGCUCAAUGAAGAAGUUUACAUGCGCCUACCGCCUGGUUCCACCUCAAACAAAUCUGAAAUGGUUUGUCGUCUAAGAAAGUCAUUAUAUGGAUUAAAGCAAGCUCCACGUUGUUGGUUUGCAAAGUUGGCAGCGACUUUGAAGACUUACAGCUUUGCUCAAUCGAGCUUAGAUUAUUCUCUCUUUACCUUGUAUCGGGAUAGCAUACAUAUACUUGUGAUUGUGUAUGUUGACGAUAUAAUUGUUUCGGAAAACAACAGCGAAGCUAUUCGGGUGUUCAAGAUGUAUUUGAGUGAUUGUUUUUAUAUGAUAGAUUUGGGUCCAUUGAAAUAUUUUUUGGGUAUUGAAGUUGCAAGAAAUCCGACAGGAAUCUUCCUGUCUCAGCGGAAGUAUGUGUUAGAUAUUAUCUCUAAGGCGGGACUACUUGGUGCAAAACCGGACCCAUUUCCCUUGGAACCGAAUCAUCAGCUAGCUUUGGCCGAAGGCCUUUAUUUUUCUGAUCCUGUGAAAUAUCGACGACGCUUAGGCAGAUUAAUUUAUCUUUCCGCUACACGGCCAGAGUUGUCCUAUCCAGUUCAUAUGCUUUCUCAAUUUAUGCAGCAGCCGCGUGAGCGACAUUGGGAAGCAGCUCUGCGGGUAGUUCGCUAUCUGAAAAGUAACCCUGGUCAAGGUGUGCUUUUAAGAUUAGAUUGUGACUUGCAACUUUAUGGGUGGUGUGAUUUUGAUUAGGCAAGCUGCCGUCUAUCUCAGCGUUCUUUAUCUGGGUGGUUUGUCAUGCUUGGAUCCUCUCCUAUAUCUUGGAAAUCUAAGAAACAACACACAGUUGCGCGGUCUUCUGCUGUGGCCGAGUAUCGUGCCAUAGCAACAAUUACAUGUGAGCUCAAAUGGCUUAAAGGGUUAUUGAUGUCUCUCAGAGUUGAUCACUCACAACCCAUGCACCUGUAUUGUGACAGCCAGGCUGCUCUUCAUCUAGUUGCCAACCCCGUGUUUCAUGAACGGACCAAGCACAUCGAAGUUGACUGUCAUUUUGUUCGAGGCGAAAUUCAACGAAGAAACAUACGGCCUGCCUAUGUGUCUACUACUAUUUAGCUAGCUUAUAUCUUCACAAAGGCACUUGGCAGCAAAGAGUUCGAGUUCCUUCUUCACAAGUUGGGCAUUCGUGAUCUCCAUGCUCCAACUUAAGGGGGGGUGUUAACUCACGUGUGUGUAUAUAUAUAUAGCAAGUCACGUGUAUAUAUUAUUGGUUGUUAUAUCUUUCCUAGUUUGAUAGGAUUUCCUUGUGAACUAGGGUAAUUCUUAUCUAGGGUAAUUCUUAUCAACUAAUGUACAUAUAAAUAUUGAUCAAUAGAGAACAAAGAGAAGGACAAAAAGGGUGGUUUUCCAUCGUGAAUUUCUUCAAUAAUCAUUACAAAAUUUGUUUGAGAAACUGAUAUUUGGAGUUGAGUGGAAGAAAUUAAAAAAAUUAGAAAAAGGACAUUUUGGAAAUUAAAAUGUUGAAAGAUACAAAGCUCGCUUGGUGAUCCUUGGGAACAAGCAAGUUGAAGGAAUUGAUUACACAUAGACAUUUGCUCUUGUUGCAAAACUUGUUAUAGUUCGAACUUUUCUGGUUGUUGCUGCGGCUAGGAAUUGGGAGCUUCAUCAGAUGGAUGUUCACAAUGCUUUCUUACACGGUGAGCUCAAUGAAGAAGUUUACAUGCGCCUACCGCCUGGUUCCACCUCAAACAAAUCUGAAAUGGUUUGUCGUCUAAGAAAGUCAUUAUAUGGAUUAAAGCAAGCUCCACGUUGUUGGUUUGCAAAGUUGGCAGCGACUUUGAAGACUUACAGCUUUGCUCAAUCGAGCUUAGAUUAUUCUCUCUUUACCUUGUAUCGGGAUAGCAUACAUAUACUUGUGAUUGUGUAUGUUGACGAUAUAAUUGUUUCGGAAAACAACAGCGAAGCUAUUCGGGUGUUCAAGAUGUAUUUGAGUGAUUGUUUUUAUAUGAUAGAUUUGGGUCCAUUGAAAUAUUUUUUGGGUAUUGAAGUUGCAAGAAAUCCGACAGGAAUCUUCCUGUCUCAGCGGAAGUAUGUGUUAGAUAUUAUCUCUAAGGCGGGACUACUUGGUGCAAAACCGGACCCAUUUCCCUUGGAACCGAAUCAUCAGCUAGCUUUGGCCGAAGGCCUUUAUUUUUCUGAUCCUGUGAAAUAUCGACGACGCUUAGGCAGAUUAAUUUAUCUUUCCGCUACACGGCCAGAGUUGUCCUAUCCAGUUCAUAUGCUUUCUCAAUUUAUGCAGCAGCCGCGUGAGCGACAUUGGGAAGCAGCUCUGCGGGUAGUUCGCUAUCUGAAAAGUAACCCUGGUCAAGGUGUGCUUUUAAGAUUAGAUUGUGACUUGCAACUUUAUGGGUGGUGUGAUUUUGAUUAGGCAAGCUGCCGUCUAUCUCAGCGUUCUUUAUCUGGGUGGUUUGUCAUGCUUGGAUCCUCUCCUAUAUCUUGGAAAUCUAAGAAACAACACACAGUUGCGCGGUCUUCUGCUGUGGCCGAGUAUCGUGCCAUAGCAACAAUUACAUGUGAGCUCAAAUGGCUUAAAGGGUUAUUGAUGUCUCUCAGAGUUGAUCACUCACAACCCAUGCACCUGUAUUGUGACAGCCAGGCUGCUCUUCAUCUAGUUGCCAACCCCGUGUUUCAUGAACGGACCAAGCACAUCGAAGUUGACUGUCAUUUUGUUCGAGGCGAAAUUCAACGAAGAAACAUACGGCCUGCCUAUGUGUCUACUACUAUUUAGCUAGCUUAUAUCUUCACAAAGGCACUUGGCAGCAAAGAGUUCGAGUUCCUUCUUCACAAGUUGGGCAUUCGUGAUCUCCAUGCUCCAACUUAAGGGGGGGUGUUAACUCACGUGUGUGUAUAUAUAUAUAGCAAGUCACGUGUAUAUAUUAUUGGUUGUUAUAUCUUUCCUAGUUUGAUAGGAUUUCCUUGUGAACUAGGGUAAUUCUUAUCUAGGGUAAUUCUUAUCAACUAAUGUACAUAUAAAUAUUGAUCAAUAGAGAACAAAGAGAAGGACAAAAAGGGUGGUUUUCCAUCGUGAAUUUCUUCAAUAAUCAUUACAAAAUUUGUUUGAGAAACUGAUAUUUGGAGUUGAGUGGAAGAAAUUAAAAAAAUUAGAAAAAGGACAUUUUGGAAAUUAAAAUGGAUAUUUGAUAGAAAAGGGGCUCUAAAAGGAAAUCAAAGGGUGCUAAUAGUCCUAUUAUUUUAGAAAAAGUAGAGGAAUGGGCAAGUCUAGAUCAAUUCUUUUAGAGCGAAGCUCCUACCACCCUUUUAAAACUAUGUGAAACCCCACGUAUUAUAUGUAUUACUCUUAUUUUGAUAAAAUUUAGAGAAAAGGACAAAAGGUUAUAAUAGAGUUUAAUUAAUUAUGAAACAUAAUUUUUUAUAAUAAAAACAUAUAAUUUAUUGCUAUAUUGCCUCAUAAUUAUUUUGACUUUAAAAUAAUUAUUUAUGUCACAUAAAGAUGGGUUCAUGAUUUGUAAGUAUAAAAAUAUUUUAAUUUAAGUUAAAUUCAUAUUUAUCCUUUUAUGUAAUUUUCUCAAACUACUACAAAUAUAAGGUUUUAUAAGAAUUUUGAAAAGCGACCAACCAAAGUAGACUAUUUGAAAACCAUCACGUCAAGCCAUGAGGACAGUUAAUUGGAUUUUCUUAAUGUGAAUGCUCAUUUUUUUAAAAUUCCAGUCAAAGCUAUGCAUUGAACAAUUUGGCACCAUGAUCACCUCUGUAGGUUUCCUUAGUCUACAAAUACUAAAGUGAUCCGUGAAUUAUUUUGUCUCCGUUUCCAAGUAUUAGGUAGAAUUAAUGUACUAGGCAUUUUAGCCCUAGGAUAUGUGUGCGUGUGUGUAACAUAUAAAAGUCAAACACGUGAUUUGAAAAUUUUUCAAAGUUUAGAGAUAUUAGAUAGAUUUAGCCCCAGGAUAUCGCAUGAUAUUAAUGAUAACGAGACAAAGGCUUGAAAAAUCAAACAUUAAACACAGCGACACAAUGGCAUGAAAAAUCAAAGCAAACGAUAAUGUGUUUCAAAGGUUUAUCCUUUCUGUGAGUGAUAGGACUCCAUAAAGUAGAAAUUGAAGCAUGACUGAUCUAUACUUACCAACUAACUAAAUUAAGAUUAUGUUUGAAAAAUCAUACAUAACUUGGAAAAUAAUUAGGUCAUGUUUGGUUUGAAGAAAAGGAAGGAGAGGAAAAGAGUGGAAUGGAGAGGAAGGGAGAAGAAAAGAAUGGAAAAGAGUAGUGAAAUUAGAUUUUAUUGUUUGAUUUGAUAUAAAAUUUGAUAAAGAAAUGAAUUAUAAUUUUUUUCUUUAGAUAAAUUUAUCAUCUACCUUAAAUAUUAAACUAUUUAUGUUAGUAAUUAAAAAAAUAUAUACAUAAAAUAAAAUGGCGGUCCGGUGGCUCGCGGUGGAGGUCCGGCGAAUUCCGACGGUGGUCCGGCGGCUGUCACCCUUCAAUAGCCGAAUGCCUCCUCACUAAAGAUGAUAAGAGGUAGAAAAAUGAUAUUUAUUAAUAAUGCUUAAAGAACAGGCCAUAGAAACAAUUAUAAAACCAUAUGGUGUUGGCGUGAUUUUCAUUGGUUUUUUUAAUUAAUUGUAACACCAUAUGAUGUUAACUUAUUGUUAUCAUUAUUUAUUUAUUUAUUUUUACAACUGUAAGAUUAUAUGGUAUUAACGUGUUUUCUUUUGUCAUUAUGAAAAUUCUUUCUGGAUGAUGAAUAUUAUCACUCUUAAGAGGUAAGAUACUGAAAAAAAAAGUAAAUGAUAUAAUCUAAUCAAGUGAUCGUUCUCAAUCAUACACUAAAUCUAUCAAAUAUAUCCCUUAAAGAAACGGUCCAUAAAGCCUUCUUCUAGAUAAUAAUGUUUAUUACUCCAAAAAUGCUCCUGAAAACGCAGUUUAAAGAAAAAAAAAAAUAGUGGUAAACAACAAUAAAAUUUGUGAAGUGGACAACUAUUAUGGCAUUUUGCAAUAAUUGAGAAAUUUAAAUCAUAAGUGAUAUAAGAACUUUCUCACUAGUCAUACAGGAUAUUACUGUAUUAGUAUAAAUAAGCCAUUAGACGACCACAAUCCUCAUGGUUUUCUUGCAGGAAUAGAAAAUGGUUCUCUCGGAUGACACCAAAACAUCUUCUGAAAAUGGGUCGGAAAUCGACAGGGAGCGCAAGGCUUUUGAUGAUACGAAAGCCGGUGUCAAAGGACUAGUGGACGCUGGAGUAGUGAAUAUUCCCAGGAUAUUCAUUCGACCACCUGGAGAGCUUGCUGAGGAGUUGACGACUCACCAGGGGAAAUUACAAGCGCCAGUUAUCGAUCUUGAUGGCAUCAGAUACAAUAAACUUGAAGAUAUUGUUGAUCAAGUUCGGGCUGCUUGCGAAACAUGGGGUUUUUUCCAAGUUAUCAAUCAUGGGGUUCCCUUACACCUGAUGGAAGAGAUGAUUGAAGGAGUUCGCAAGUUUAAUGAACAAGAUGUUGAGGUGAAGAAACAGUUCUACACACGUGAGCCCACAAGAAACGUUAGAUUCUACAGCAACUUUGAUCUGUAUCACUCACGAACCGCAAGUUGGAAGGACACGUUGGCCAUUUUUACUUCGGGUACCAAAAGUUUGGAACCCAAUGAAUUGCCCAAAGUUUGCAGGUAUAUACAUAAUCGAUCCGUCUCUGUAUAUACAUUGCUGGUUAAUUAAGAGCCCUUUUUAAUUAAUGUUCAGUAUAUUGUAACCAGCCAUCAUGAGUUGUGAUAUCAUAUUCUUCUGUACAAUCGUUCAUCCGAAUUUGCAGAGAUACCAUAAUGGAGUACAUAAAAGAAGUCUCAAAAUUGGGUGAGACUCUGUUUGAAAUACUAUCAAUGGCUCUAGGACUGAAGCCUGAAUAUUUGAACGAUAUGGGAUGCUUCAAUAUAUACGGCUUUACCUGCAACUACUAUCCGCACUGCCCACAGCCAAAGCUGACUUUGGGAGCUAAAAGGCACUCUGAUCCUUCAUUCCUUACAAUUCUGUUGCAAGACCAAAUCGGUGGCCUUCAAGUCUUCUAUGAAAAUCAGUGGAUUGAUGUUAACCCUAUAUCAGGAGGCUUGGUGGUAAAUAUAGGGGACUUUCUCCAGGUUUGUCUUUGAAAAUAACGGAGACAAUUAAUCUUCCCAUCAUCUGCUUAUUUUUCGUGUUUUAACAGUAACUAUAUAUGCUAAUUAAAGUUUUCAAUAAUUAAUCAAUUCAGG